rnacentral:lncRNA from 1 species
UAGACAAAAUUCAGGUAGAGGCCUUGUCCACCUAAUUUUAAUACGUUCAAAUGAAAGAGAGAAACACAGUGGAAGAUUAAGAGUCACGCUUGACACUUCCAAGAAAAGCAGUUCCUUGUUGAUCACGGCUUCCCGGGCAGCAGACACUGCUUCUUACUUCUGUGCUACGGACGCUGUACAACUUCAACAAAUUUUACUUUGGAUCUGGGACCAAACUCAAUGUAAAACCAAUAUCCAGAACCCUGACCCUGCCGUGUACCAGCUGAGAGAC